UACGAAGGGGGCUAGCGUUGCUCGGAAUCACUGGGCUUAAAGGGCGCGUAGGCGGGCUGCCGCGUCCGGGGUGAAAUCCUCCCGCUCAACGGGAGAACGGCCUCGGAUACGGGCGGCCUCGAGGGGGGUAGGGGCGUCUGGAACUGUGGGUGGAGCGGUGAAAUGCGUUGAUAUCUGGAGGAACACCGGUGGCGAAGGCGGCAUCCUGGACCAAUAUUGACGCUGAGGAGCGAAAGCCAGGGGAGCAAACGGG
rnacentral:rRNA from 1 species